rnacentral:rRNA from 1 species
CCCACCAAGCCUUCGAUGGAUAGGGGUUCUGAGAGGAAGGUCCCCCACAUUGGAACCGAGACACGGUCCAAACUCCUACGGGAGGCAGCAUG